GAUGAACGCUGGCGGCGUGCUUAACACAUGCAAGUCGAACGAAGCACUUUAUUUGAUUUCCUUCGGGACUGAUUAUUUUGUGACUGAGUGGCGGACGGGUGAGUAACGCGUGGGUAACCUGCCUUGUACAGGGGGAUAACAGUUGGAAACGGCUGCUAAUACCGCAUAAGCGCACAGCAUCGCAUGAUGCAGUGUGAAAAACUCCGGUGGUAUAAGAUGGACCCGCGUUGGAUUAGCUAGUUGGUGAGGUAACGGCCCACCAAGGCGACGAUCCAUAGCCGACCUGAGAGGGUGACCGGCCACAUUGGGAAUGAGACACGGCCCAAACUCCUACGGGAGGCAGCAGUGGGGAAUAUUGCACAAUGGGCGAAAGCCUGAUGCAGCGACGCCGCGUGAGCGAAGAAGUAUUUCGGUAUGUAAAGCUCUAUCAGCAGGGAAGAUAAUGACGGUACCUGACUAAGAAGCACCGGCUAAAUACGU
rnacentral:rRNA from 1 species